rnacentral:rRNA from 1 species
GACGAACGCUGGCGGCGUGCUUAACACAUGCAAGUCGAACGAAGAGCGAUGGAAGCUUGCUUCUAUCAAUCUUAGUGGCGAACGGGUGAGUAACGCGUAAUCAACCUGCCCUUCAGAGGGGGACAACAGUUGGAAACGACUGCUAAUACCGCAUACGAUCUAAUCUCGGCAUCGAGGAUAGAUGAAAGGUGGCCUCUACAUGUAAGCUAUCACUGAAGGAGGGGAUUGCGUCUGAUUAGCUAGUUGGAGGGGUAACGGCCCACCAAGGAGAUGAUCAGUAGCCGGUCUGAGAGGAUGAACGGCCACAUUGGGACUGAGACACGGCCCAGACUCCUACGGGAGGCAGCAGUGGGGAAUCUUCCGCAAUGGACGAAAGUCUGACGGAGCAACGCCGCGUGAGUGAUGACGGCCUUCGGGUUGUAAAGCUCUGUUAAUCGGGACGAAAGGCCUUCUUGCGAAUAGUGAGAAGGAUUGACGGUACCGGAAUAGAAAGCCACGGCUAACUACGU